UACGAAGGGGGCUAGCGUUGCUCGGAAUGACUGGGCGUAAAGGGCGCGUAGGCGGUUUGGACAGUCAGAUGUGAAAUUCCUGGGCUCAACCUGGGGGGCUGCAUUUGAUACGUUCGGACUAGAGUGGGGAAGAGGGUCGCGGAAUUCCCGGUGUAGAGGUGAAAUUCGUAGAUAUCGGGAGGAACACCAGUGGCGAAGGCGGCGACCUGGACGGACACUGACGCUGAGACGCGAAAGCGUGGGGAGCAAACAGG
rnacentral:rRNA from 1 species